ACCUGGUCAGGCCACCCGAUGUUGGGAA
rnacentral:sRNA from 1 species